UAAAGGAAGCGAUUCCGGCUACGGAUGGUCAUGCGUCGCAUUAGCUAGUUGGCGGGGUAACGGCCCACCAAGGCGACGAUGCGUAGGGGUUCUGAGAGGAAGGUCCCCCACACUGGUACUGAGACACGGACCAGACUCCUACGGGAGGCAGCAGUGAGGAAUAUUGGUCAAUGGCCGCAGGGCUGAACCAGCCAAGUCGCGUGAGGGAUGACGGUCCUAUGGAUUGUAAACCUCUUUUGUCAGGGAGCAAAGGGCGCCACGUGUGGCGCUUUGCGAGUACCUGAAGAAAAAGCAUCGGCUAACUCCGUGCCAGCAGCCGCGGUAAUACGGAGGAUGCGAGCGUUAUCCGGAUUUAUUGGGUUUAAAGGGUGUGCAGGCGGAAUGUCAAGUCAGCGGUAAAAUUUCGGGGCUCAACCCCGUCGUGCCGUUGAAACUGGCGUUCUUGAGUGAGCGAGAAGUAUGCGGAAUGCGUGGUGUAGCGGUGAAAUGCAUAGAUAUCACGCAGAACUCCGAUUGCGAAGGCAGCAUACCGGCGCUCAACUGACGCUCAUGCACGAAAGCGUGGGUAUCGAACAGGAUUAGAUACCCUGGUAGUCCACGCAGUAAACGAUGAAUACCGACUGUCCGGGCAGAAUGAUGCCUGG
rnacentral:rRNA from 1 species